rnacentral:rRNA from 1 species
GACGAACGCUGGCGGCGUGCCUAAUACAUGCAAGUCGAACGAGAGCAACCGGUGCUUGCACUGGUCAAUCUAGUGGCGAACGGGUGAGUAACACGUGGGUAACCUGCCCAUCAGAGGGGGAUAACAUCCGGAAACGGAUGCUAAAACCGCAUAGGUCUUCGAACCGCAUGGUUUGAAGAGGAAAAGAGGCGCAAGCUUCUGCUGAUGGAUGGACCCGCGGUGCAUUAGCUAGUUGGUGAGGUAACGGCUCACCAAGGCCGUGCUGCAUAGCCGACCUGAGAGGGUGAUCGGCCACAUUGUAACUGACACACGGCCCAAACUCCUCCGAGAGGCAGCAGUAGGGAAUCUUCCACAAUGGACGCAAGUCUGACGGAGCAACGCCGCGUGAGUGAAAAAGGUUUUCGGAUCUUAAAACUCUGUUGUUAGAGAAGAACAAGUGCUAUAGUAACUGUUAGCGCCUUGACGGUAUCUAACCAGAGAGCCACGGCUAACUACGUG